rnacentral:rRNA from 1 species
UUUCGCCCGCCGGCGACCGGCGCACGGGUGAGUAACACGUAUGCAACCUGCCCGUGGCAGGGGGAUAAGCGGGGGAAACCCCGUCUAAUACCGCGUAACGCGGCCUUGGGGCAUCCCAAGGCCGCCAAAGGGAGCAAUCCCGGCCACGGAUGGGCAUGCGGCGCAUUAGCUAGUCGGCGGGGUAACGGCCCACCGAGGCGACGAUGCGUAGGGGUUCUGAGAGGAAGGCCCCCCACACUGGUACUGAGACACGGACCAGACUCCUACGGAAGGCAGCAG